rnacentral:rRNA from 1 species
AUUGAACGCUGGCGGCAGGCUUAACACAUGCAAGUCGAGCGAGCGGCGGACGGGUGAGUAAUGUAUGGGAAACUGCCCGAUGGAGGGGGAUAACUACUGGAAACGGUAGCUAAUACCGCAUACCCUCAGAAGUGCCCAGAUGGGAUUAGCGAGUAGGUGGGGUAAAGGCUCACCUAGGCCACGAUCCAUAGCUGGUCUGAGAGGAUGACCAGCCGCACUGGAACUGAGACACGGUCCAGACUCCUACGGGAGGCAGCAGUGGGGAUUUUUGCACCAUGGGCGCAAUCCUUCUGCAGCCAUGCCGCGUGUGUCAGGAAGGCCUUCGGGUUGUAAAGCACUUUCAGCGAGGAGGCGUUACUCGCAGAAGAAGCACCGGCUAACUCCGUGCCAGCAGCCGCGGUAAUUC